GAUGAACGCUGGCGGCGUGCCUAAUACAUGCAAGUCGAGCGAACAGACGAGGAGCUUACUCCUCUGACGUUAGCGGCGGACGGGUGAGUAACACGUGGAUAACCUACCUAUAAGACUGGGAUAACUUCGGGAAACCGGAGCUAAUACCGGAUAAUAUAUUGAACCGCAUGGUUCAAUAGUGAAAGACGGUUUUGCUGUCACUUAUAGAUGGAUCCGCGCCGCAUUAGCUAGUUGGUAAGGUAACGGCUUACCAAGGCGACGAUGCGUAGCCGACCUGAGAGGGUGAUCGGCCACACUGGAACUGAGACACGGUCCAGACUCCUACGGGAGGCAGCAGUAGGGAAUCUUCCGCAAUGGGCGAAAGCCUGACGGAGCAACGCCGCGUGAGUGAUGAAGGUCUUCGGAUCGUAAAACUCUGUUAUUAGGGAAGAACAAAUGUGUAAGUAACUAUGCACGUCUUGACGGUACCUAAUCAGAAGGCCACGGCUAACUACGUG
rnacentral:rRNA from 1 species